rnacentral:rRNA from 1 species
AGAGUUUGAUCAUGGCUCAGGACGAACGCUGGCGGCGUGCCUAACACAUGCAAGUCGAGCGAAGUAUCUUGGAGUGGAGUCUUCGGACGAAGCGAAAAGAUAUCUUAGCGGCGGACGGGUGAGUAACGCGUGAAGAACCUGCCUUUCACAAAGGGAUAGCCUCGGGAAACUGGGAUUAAUACCUUAUGAUACUUUUAAACCACAUGGUUUUAAAGUCAAAGCGUAAAGCGGUGAAAGAUGGCUUCGCGUCCCAUUAGUUAGUUGGUGAGGUAACGGCUCACCAAGACUGCGAUGGGUAGCCGGCCUGAGAGGGUGAACGGCCACACUGGAACUGAGACACGGUCCAGACUCCUACGGGAGGCAGCAGUGGGGAAUAUUGCACAAUGGAGGAAACUCUGAUGCAGCGACGCCGCGUGAACGAUGAAGGCCUUCGGGUCGUAAAGUUCUGUCCUAGGGGACGAUAAUGACGGUACCCUAGGAGGAAGCCCCGGCUAACUACGUGCCAGCAGCCGCGGUAAUACGUAGGGGGCGAGCGUUGUCCGGAAUUAUUGGGCGUAAAGGGUUCGCAGGCGGUUUUUUAAGUCAGAUGUGAAAGGUCACGGCUCAACCGUGGUAAGCAUUUGAAACUGGAAGACUUGAGUUAUGGAGAGGAAAGUGGAAUUCCUAGUGUAGCGGUGAAAUGCGUAGAUAUUAGGAGGAAUACCAGUGGCGAAGGCGACUUUCUGGACAUAUACUGACGCUGAGGAACGAAAGCGUGGGGAGCAAACAGGAUUAGAUACCCUGGUAGUCCACGCCGUAAACGAUGAGUGCUAGGUGUUGGGGGUCAAACCUCGGUGCCGCAGCUAACGCAUUAAGCACUCCGCCUGGGGAGUACGUACGCAAGUAUGAAACUCAAAGGAAUUGACGGGGACCCGCACAAGCAGCGGAGCAUGUGGGUUAAUUCGAAGCAACGCGAAGAACCUUACCAGGGCUUGACAUGCCACUGACCGUCCUAGAGAUAGGAUUUUACCUUCGGGUACAGUGGACACAGGUGGUGCAUGGUUGUCGUCAGCUCGUGUCGUGAGAUGUUGGGUUAAGUCCCGCAACGAGCGCAACCCUUGCCUUUAGUUGCAAACAGUUCGGCUGUGCACUCUAGAGGGACUGCCGAUGACAAAUCGGAGGAAGGUGGGGAUGACGUCAAAUCAUCAUGCCCUUUAUGUCCUGGGCUACACACGUGCUACAAUGGUCGGUACAACGAGUAGCUACCUAGCGAUAGGAUGCCAAUCUCUAAAAGCCGAUCCCAGUUCGGAUUGCAGGCUGCAACUCGCCUGCAUGAAGUCGGAGUUGCUAGUAAUCGCGAAUCAGAAUGUCGCGGUGAAUGCGUUCCCGGGUCUUGUACACACCGCCCGUCACACCAUGGAAGUUGGCAAUACCCGAAGCCAGUGGGCUAACCGUAAGGAGGCAGCUGUCGAAGGUAGGGUCAAUGACUGGGGUGAAGUCGUAACAAGGUAACCGUA